CCAAAUCUCAUGAUAAAAAAUAAUUAAUCUCUCGCCCAAGGAUCACAGAGAGAAUUUGCUAAAAUAGCUAAUGCUUCCCAAACCAAAAUUUCUAUGUAAUUUUUCAGUUCUACACGUUUUAUUUCAAACAAAUGUAUAAAACUAGCAACAGUAAUGUUAGGGGUCAUCUUAAAAGACUUAAACUCUUUUAGUUUCUUCUUUCUUUCCCUUCUCAUAGCCCUUUCAUUUCGUAACAGAUUUUGUUUCUCUCUGAGAACACCGUUUCGUAUGAUCUCACGACCUCAAAAAUAUGUCCUUCGAUGACGUGCUCUUCCACUUUAUUUUUUUGCUCGACAUCCUAAACUCCCACUUGGAGUGAUUCGAGUUUGUCCCCAUUCAGCCAUGUCUGAAAUAGGAAAUAGGAAACAAGAAACAAUAAGAAUGGUUAUGUCAUUUAAUGCGAGAAAUUAUGUCACAAUUUAUUGUAGAAGACAAAAUCUAUUUAUGAAAAAUUUAGGAACUAAUUUAGAUAAGACUUAUAUCAAGUCUAAUUUAUGCACUUAUUUAAAUCAUAAACAGGUUAAAAUAAAUAAUUUAAGUGGUUAAACAACUCCACAAAAAAAAAUAUGUUACUGAUUUUUCAAUCAAAAAAGAAUUCAAAAAAAUGUAGACACCUAAUUUUGUCCCUCCCGAAGUCUAAUUGUAUUCAUUUUUAGUUCACCUUACCAUGUGUCCAACCCCAUGUAAUUAUAUCUCAUAAAAAUACAAAAAUAAAUAAAAAAUAAUACCUCUAACUAAUUUAUCUUAUCCUAACAACCUACCCAAUCAAAAGCUUCCACCUCCCUACCCACUCACAUUUUUAUUCUCACAAUAACAAACUAAAAGAAAUAAUAUAUGGAAGACCCACCAAAAUUCCCACAUCAUAACAAAUUCAUGCCCAUUAUAAAAGAAAAAUUAUAAGAGGAAAAAAGGGGGCUCAUUCUUUAAUCAUCAUUUUCUCCACAAUAACAACAAUAACAAAAUAAUCUUCCUCACAAAAACAACAACAAAAAAAAAAAGGGCGCCGGUGAACAGUAACCGGUGAAAAGUACCAGCAAACAGUACCGGUGAACAGUAACGGUGUGAAAAGUGAUGGUGAACGGGUCAUUAUUUGUCGAGUUGGAUUGUUGGUAUUAAGGUUCGGUUCGAGGCUUCCGGUGCGGACUCUCUUUAUUCAAAUAACAUUGAGUUUGAAAGCUUCAAAUUUAAGGUCCAAUUCUUUCUUCUCUUUCAUUUAAUUCUUAUGUGAUUGUGAUUGCAUGUGAUUCGAUACCGUGGUUUGUUUGUUGAUGUGAACUGUUGGUGACAUUUGGGUGUGUGAUGUGCUAAGCAUGAUUGGUGAAUUUUCGUUAUUCUCGAUUGGUAGAUUGUGUAUUGAAAUGGGUUAAUCACGUGGUUGAGAAUGAAUUAGGGUGGGAUUAAAAUGGAGGAAAAUGAAUAUUGAUUAAUUUUGAUGUAUUGAUAGUGUUGAACAUGAUAGAAUUGUGAUAUGUUGAACUUGGUAGGCAAACGUAGGCCGGGUAGGCAAAUUUAGGAAUAACGAUUUGUUGGAGUGUUUGAAUAUGUGCGUGAAUGGUACUUUCUACUUUAUUGCACGAAAAGUUUAAAUUGUACUCAUUUGGUCGGGGAAUACCCCGAAGGAUUUGUAUUGGUUUAUCCGGGGAAUGCCCCGAAGUAGCAUGUACGCAAAGGAGGCUCGUGAUCAAGGCCCGGAACGUUGGGUGGAGUUUAGUUUAGGAUUAGUUUAGAAUAGAAUAGGUUUUAUAUUUCAGCACCUCUUUUAUUUUGGAUUGUAUAAUUUGGACUGAACAUUAUUUUGGUUUGUUUUAAAUUUUGUGUGAUUUGUUUGUUUGCUUGUUUUGUGUGUUUAUGUGGUUUGUACAUUUGUAAUGUCAAAUUAGCCGAUACGCUCCACCAAGCGACCGUGGUCGAACCACGGGAUCGAGGGGUGCCUUAAAUCUUCCCCUCGGUCAACAGAAUUCCUUAGCCGGAAUCUCUGUUCGCGGAUCAGUUUUUAGAGUCAAACCGGUUCGAAAAGGAUUUUUCAAAGGUGACUUGGCACACCGGAUUAUGCCAAGUGGCGACUCUGAAUAAGAAAAAAUAAUGUAAAUAAUCCUUCUUUUUUUUUUCGAAAUAAAUUUUUUUCAUUUUUGUCACCUUAAUAAUAAAAUCCUUUCAAAAUUAAAAUACGAUCUUUUGUAUGUUGAAAAAGGGGUGUGACAAAAAAUAUGCCCCUUUUAUUAUUAUUCAAAAAAAUAAUAAUACUCCUUUUCACAUGUACUACCAAAAUAUGUGAAGCAAAAAGAAAUAGAGUAGAAAUGUGUUGAAAGUACUAAUUUUUCACUUUUAGUGAAAGUAUGCAGACUGUCAAUGCCAUAUGAAAUCAAAAAAUAGAAAAUAUUAACUCAUUAAAUGCAGAUACAUUUUUUCAUAAAGGUACUUUAACCUUUUCUUUUACCAAAGAAGAAUAUAGAAAAUCGUGAUAUGCAUUUUUCCUUCCCCAAUAUUCUAUUCCCAUAAUUGUUUAAUAAAUACUUUUUCUGUCUCAAAUUACCCGUCCUAAAUUGAGAUGACACAUUUAUUAAAAAAAAUACUUAAUAACAUGGCUAGUUUAUCAUAGUACCUAUAUUAAAUAAUAUUUACAUUUUAAAUUAAAGAAAAGUAAUUAAUGCAAAGAGUAAAAUAUGGGAAAUUUUUUUUGUCUCUUUUUGAUAAAUAAAAAAAAACAAGUAAAAUGAGAAAUCAAAAUAGAAAAUUUGAAACGAAUAAUUUGAGACGGAGGAAGUAAUUAUUAAGGAAUGAAGAAAAGUGCAAUAACUUUCUUUCACAUAGUAUAUCAAACAACACCACUUAAGAAUCCUCUUUUCUAACACUUCAAUGGCAAAAACGAGUUUUUAAUAUGCCGAAUCUAAAGUGUAAUUUUUGACGUGUCUAACUGAAUCAACGAUGCGUCUGACUGGAUUAGCGGUGGCACGUCUAACCAGAUUAGCGGUGGCGCAUCUGACCGGCUUAGCGGUUCGCCUGACCGGAUUAGCGGUGGAGCAUCUGACCGACUUAGCGGUGCGUCUGACCAAAUUUUAGCGUUGGCACGAUUGACCGGCUUAGCGGUGUGUCUGACCAAAUUUUAGCGUUGGCACGACUGACCGGAUUAGCGGUACGUCUGACCAGAUUUUUCAAUUUAUAUCCGAUCAGCAAUUUUUCAUAUAGGUGUGUUCUAAUUCGAUUUUCUAUUUCUUCACUUCAAAUCAAGAUAUUACUUGCAAAAUUAGGGCAAUUAAAUCUGUCUCUAAUGCCAUUGUUGUGUUAAAAUCGGAGCAAAAAUAGUGUGUACCUUAAUAUGUUGUAGCAGAAGUCGUUCAAUUUGUUACCGAAAGAAUCGCUCGAAAUCAAUUUCGUUUCUCUUGAAAAUGGAGUGUAAAUACACAAACUAAAUGUCUUUCUAUUGGAUGUUUUGUUAAUGCAGUAUUUUUACCCUUUUGUGUCAUGGUUUUUCAUCGCACUCAUCUGAAGAAGAAAACUUGAGGAAUAUAAGGGAAGUUGAACGAUUUUCUUUGUAAUUGUUCCACCCAAAAUUCAAAUACAUAAUCUUUAACUUCUUAUUUCAGAUAAAUAGGAAAAACAGAUUGGGUCGGGUCACGUGGGCAACCCAUCACCCGAAAUAUCCAACAAUUGGAAAUUCCCACAAUCUCAAGUUCAACAGAAAAGAAGAAAGAAAAGCAAACGAAAAAUAGGCACAACUAUUUAUCAUAUUCAAAGACAUUCAACUAACAAUAACAAUUAAAUAUAUACUAUACAUGUGUUCAUAUUUCUAAAACAUGUACAACAUUAAUCUUAAAACUUUAAUUAAUUAACAAUCAUGGUGACAAUUGCAUAAGAUCUUUCUACUUUUUUUGCUUAUUGCCUUAUACUGUUCUUGUGCAUCUCCCUAAUUACUUUUACUAGAAAUUAGUUCAUUGCAGUAAGAAUAUAGUAUUUGGUCAUUAUAAUUUGCUACCCUUAAACUUUGAUUACAAAUUCAUCUAUUUUAAAUCACUAGUCACUGAUUUAAGGGUAAAUAGUUCCUAUAGAAAAGGAUAAAUAAAAAUAAUUCUCCUUUCCUUAACCCCACUUUCUUUAAAAGAAAAAGUUGGCUUUGGUAACGCUCCGACCCCCUUGCGGCCUCAAAAGUUAUACUAUGUAUAUAAGAUCAAUUUUUUUAGGUGUGUUUUCUUUUUAAAUUUUUACUGAUCAUCUCUCGUACAAUUAAACAAAAAGAAGAAUUUGUGUAAAAUCUUAUAAUUGUGGCAUUAAUUUUAAAUUCAUAGUGACUAGUGUCAGUAAAAAAGGAGAAAUAAAAGCAAAUGAAAGAUGGACACAACCAUAUAUUAUUAAGAUAUCAUUUUGUUUCAAAACCAUGACAUCCAAACCAACAAUAACAUUUAAAUAUAAGUUCUAAUUUAAUUAACAAUCAUGGUAACAAUUGCAUAAACGUUCUGCACUUCCAGGCAAUAUCUCACAAAUUGGACUUGGAUGUUUGUUCUGGAAAUUGCCAUAACAUCUACUUUGACAACAUUCUUGGUCACACUCUUUGCCACAAGCUCCCAAAUUAGUCAAGCAUGGUCCACUUGCUAGCACCAUUGAACCUAUAUAUAUCAUAAAUGUUAAAAUAAUCAUGGCAAUACUUGCAAGAUUAAAUCGUUGAAUGUCUAAUCUUAAAGUUAUCUUAGUACUGUUAUUAUAUGUUGAAUUAAUGUUUAUGAGAUGUUAUGUUAAAAAUCAGACCGACUCAAGAGAAAUAAUGGUGAAGGACACACAUAGCAUACCUGAUGCAACAAUAAGGAGCAACAUGAAUAAAGUGGUUGAGGAAUUGGCCAUUUUGCCUAUGAGGGAAUUUAUUUUUAAAAAAAAAAAAAAGUAAUGUUCAAGAAAAUAUUUAGAAUAUGAAUAUUGAAGUGUACAAAAUGAGUAUUCAUCUAUGGCUAUAUAUACUGUGCACAAAGCAACAAAUACAGAAAAUUUGAAUGGAAAAGAAAUAUUAGGUAAAAUAAGAAAUGAAUUAUUGUUUUGCAAAAUUUGUACAUUCUUUUAACUUGAC
rnacentral:lncRNA from 1 species